rnacentral:rRNA from 1 species
GAUCAUGGCUCAGGAUGAACGCUGGCGGCGUGCUUAACACAUGCAAGUCGAACGAAGCACUUUAUUACAAUUUCUUCGGAAUGACGAUUUAGUGACUGAGUGGCGGACGGGUGAGUAACGCGUGGGUAACCUGCCUUAUACAGGGGGAUAACAGUUGGAAACGACUGCUAAUACCGCAUAAGCGCACGGUAUCGCAUGAUACAGUGUGAAAAACUCCGGUGGUAUAAGAUGGACCCGCGUCUGAUUAGCUUGUUGGUGAGGUAACGGCCCACCAAGGCGACGAUCAGUAGCCGGCCUGAGAGGGUGAACGGCCACAUUGGGACUGAGACACGGCCCAAACUCCUACGGGAGGCAGCAGUGGGGAAUAUUGCACAAUGGGGGAAACCCUGAUGCAGCGACGCCGCGUGAGUGAUGAAGUAUUUCGGUAUGUAAAACUCUAUCAGCAGGGAAGAUAAUGACGGUACCUGACUAAGAAGCACCGGCUAAAUACGUG